CCUACGGGGCGCAGCAGUGGGGAAUAUUGGGCAAUGGACGCAAGUCUGACCCAGCAACGCCGCGUGAAGGAAGAAGGCUUUCGGGUUGUAAACCUCUUUUAUGCGGGGAUAAAGGUGUCCACGGGUGGAUGUUUGCAGGUACCGCAUGAAUAAGGACCGGCUAAUUCCGUGCCAGCAGCCGCGGUAAUCCGGAAGGUCCGGGCGUUAUCCGGAUUUAUUGGGUUUAAAGGGUGCGUAGGCCGGUCUUUAAGCGUGCCGUGAAAUUUUGUGGGUCAACCAUGGGAAGGCGGCGCGAACUGGGGACCUUGAGUGGGCGGAAGGCAGGCGGAAUUCGUGGUGUAGCGGUGAAAUGCUUAGAUAUCACGAAGAACCCCGAUUGCGAAGGCAGCCUGCCGCAGCGUUACUGACGCUGAAGCUCGAAAGCGUGGGUAUCGAACAGGAUUAGAUACCCCUGUAGUC
rnacentral:rRNA from 1 species